rnacentral:misc_RNA from 1 species
UACGAAGGGUGCAAACGUUGUUCGGAAUUACUGGGCGUAAAGGGCGCGCAGGCGGUUUCGCCAGUCAGAUGUGAAAGCCCCGGGCUUAACCUGGGAACUGCAUUUGAUACUGCGAGACUAGAGUUCGGGAGAGGGUAGUGGAAUUCCCAGUGUAGAGGUGAAAUUCGUAGAUAUUGGGAAGAACACCAGUGGCGAAGGCGGCUACCUGGACCGAGACUGACGCUGAGGCGCGAAAGCGUGGGGAGCAAACAGG